GAUGAACGCUGGCGGCGUGCCUAAUACAUGCAAGUCGAACGAAACUUCUUUAUCACCGAGUGCUUGCACUCACCGAUAAAGAGUUGAGUGGCGAACGGGUGAGUAACACGUGGGCAACCUGCCCAAAAGAGGGGGAUAACACUUGGAAACAGGUGCUAAUACCGCAUAACCAUAGUUACCGCAUGGUAACUAUGUAAAAGGUGGCUAUACUACCGCCUUUGGAUGGGCCCGCGGCGCAUUAGCUAGUUGGUAGGGUAAAGGCUUACCAAGGCAAUGAUGCGUAGCCGAAUUGAGAGGUUGAUCGGCCACAUUGGGACUGAGACACGGCCCAAACUCCUACGGGAGGCAGCAGUAGGGAAUCUUCCACAAUGGGCGAAAGCCUGAUGGAGCAACGCCGCGUGGGUGAAGAAGGUCUUCGGAUCGUAAAACCCUGUUGUUAGAGAAGAAAGUGCGUGAGAGUAACUGUUCACGUUUCGACGGUAUCUAACCAGAAAGCCACUGCUAACUACGUG
rnacentral:rRNA from 1 species